rnacentral:rRNA from 1 species
GAUGAACGCUGGCGGCGUGCCUAAUACAUGCAAGUCGAGCGAACAGAUAAGGAGCUUGCUCCUUUGAAGUUAGCGGCGGACGGGUGAGUAACACGUGGGUAACCUACCUAUAAGACUGGGAUAACUUCGGGAAACCGGAGCUAAUACCGGAUAACAUUUAGAACCGCAUGGUUCUAAAGUGAAAGAUGGUUUUGCUAUCACUUAUAGAUGGAACCGCGCCGGAUUAGCUAGUUGGUAAGGUAACGGCUUACCAAGGCGACGAUACGUAGCCGACCUGAGAGGGUGAUCGGCCACACUGGAACUGAGACACGGUCCAGACUCCUACGGGAGGCAGCAGUAGGGAAUCUUCCGCAAUGGGCGAAAGCCUGACGGAGCAACGCCGCGUGAGUGAUGAAGGUCUUCGGCUCGUAAAACUCUGUUAUUAGGGAAGAACAAAUGUGUAUGUAACUGUGCACGUCUUGACGGUACCUAAUCAGAAAGCCACGGCUAACUACGUG